UACAGAGGGGGCAAGCGUUAUUCGGAAUUAUUGGGCGUAAAGGGCGCGUAGGCGGCUUUGCAAGUGGCGGGUGAAAGCCCUCGGCUUAACCGAGGAACUGCCUGUCAGACUGUGAGGCUUUAGACCGGGAGAGGUGAGUGGAAUUCCCAGUGUAGCGGUGAAAUGCGUAGAUAUUGGGAGGAACACCAGUGGCGAAGGCGGCUCACUGGACCGGAACUGACGCUGAGGAGCGAAAGCGUGGGGAGCAAACAGG
rnacentral:rRNA from 1 species